rnacentral:ncRNA from 1 species
AUACGUUCAUCCCCAUAGGGGGACGCAAGUAAGCCGACUCGGAACGGAAUCGU